rnacentral:pre_miRNA from 1 species
CGUAUACUCCAUCCGUCCAACAAAGGAUGUUUCAACUUUGACCAAAUUUAAAUGCAUUUAUACACUAAGUCAUGUCUAAAUACAUCCAAAUUUUGAAAAACUUGAGACAUCUUUUGUUGGACGGAAGAAUACAUU